rnacentral:tRNA from 1 species
GAUGGCUCAGUGGUUAAGAGCACUGGCUGCUCUUUCAGAGGUCCUGAGUUCAAUUCUCAGAUAUCA